rnacentral:rRNA from 1 species
GAUCAUGGCUCAGGACGAACGCUGGCGGCGCGCCUAACACAUGCAAGUCGAACGAGAGAGAAGGAGCUUGCUUCUUCGAUCGAGUGGCGAACGGGUGAGUAACGCGUGAGGAACCUGCCUCAAAGAGGGGGACAACAGUUGGAAACGACUGCUAAUACCGCAUAAGCCCACGGGUCGGCAUCGACCUGAGGGAAAAGGAGCAAUCCGCUUUGAGGUGGCCUCGCGUCCGAUUAGCUAGUUGG